rnacentral:rRNA from 1 species
UACGGAGGGGGCAAGCGUUGUUCGGAAUUAUUGGGCGUAAAGCGUAUGUAGGCGGCCGAUUAAGUCAGACGUGUAAGCCCACGGCUCAACCGUGGAAUUGCGUUUGAUACUAGUCGGCUUGAGUUCGGGAGAGGAAAGCGGAAUUCCCAGUGUAGCGGUGAAAUGCAUUGAUAUUGGGAAGAACAUCUGUGGCGAAGGCGGCUUUCUGGCCCGAUACUGACGCUGAGAUACGAAAGCCAGGGGAGCGAACGGG